UACGAAGGGGGCUAGCGUUGCUCGGAAUCACUGGGCGUAAAGCGCACGUAGGCGGCUUUCUAAGUCAGGGGUGAAAUCCUGGAGCUCAACUCCAGAACUGCCUUUGAUACUGGAGAGCUUGAGUCCGGAAGAGGUGAGUGGAACUCCGAGUGUAGAGGUGAAAUUCGUAGAUAUCGAGAGGAACGACCGGUGGCGAAGGCGGCCUUCUGGACAGUGACUGACGUGAGACGCGAAAGCGUGGGGAGCAAACAGG
rnacentral:rRNA from 1 species